UACGAAGGGGGCUAGCGUUGCUCGGAAUCACUGGGCGUAAAGCGCACGUAGGCGGAUCUUUAAGUCAGGGGUGAAAUCCCAAGGCUCAACCUUGGAACUGCCUUUGAUACUGGGGAUCUCGAGUACGGAAGAGGUUGGUGGAACUCCGAGUGUAGAGGUGAAAUUCGUAGAUAUUCGGAAGAACACCGGUGGCGAAGGCGGCCUGCUGGGCAGUUGCUGACACUGAGGCGCGACAGCGUGGGGAGCAAACAGG
rnacentral:rRNA from 1 species